GAGCCUGUAAAAUCAGGCACAAAAGCCUUCUUAAGUUGCAAGAGAGGUUAUAGACUACCAUAUAAUCCAGAAUAUAAUUUCGUAAGUUGUGAAGAAGAUGGAACUUGGGAUUACAGCAUAUACAGAUGUACAGCUGAAUGCGGCGUUGCAAGACCUAAAGGUAUAUCGCUUGUCAUUAAAGGGCAAGACGCAGGUCUUCAAGAUUUUCCUUGGCAUGUUGGAAUCUAUCUCAAAGAUUUAAAUGUUUUAAAUAAAUAUGGAAUUUGGUGCGGUGGGAGCAUUGUGACAAACAAACUUGUCAUUACAGCUGCUCACUGUUUUUAUGAGCCUGGAACACUGAACCGUAUAGACAAAUCUCGUUUCACUGUAGUGGCUGGUAAAAUAUAUGAAGAU